AACAUACCUUCAGGGGGAUGAAUUAUUACUCCUGCAAUGAUUGUUGAGAUUGAAGGGCUUAAAGGACUUCCAGUGACAGGGAUGCAUAUUGGACUGCUGAAAUGAUAGAAGUUGUGCAAAAGAAGGGUUCUUGGUAUAGUUAUUAUUAUGCAGAUAAAAGGUUUGUUGUACUCUUGAUCAUGGUUUUUAUAUCACGGUUAUCUGCAAAUCAUUUACCGGAGGAAAGGAAAACAAACUGAAGCUGAAGACAUGUCAGAGAUAAUACAUGUAAUCAGUUUCAACUAAUAAAUUUAACGAGACCUCUAUUUUUAUAUUGUCCGUUACCGUGUGUCCUUAUAUUAGUUUUGUACAGAAAAUUGCAUCGCCUACUACCGACAACAAAAGUACAACACACACCGUGAAAAUAGAGACUAGAUCUUUUAAUAUUUCAUCUUUAAUUAUACUAGCUUAUAACCCGGAAUGCACAGAGAGUUGCAAUCAACUUGAUUUUCGUUGAUGCGCUGGUAAGAUAGCUUCUCAUAAGUCUACAAAAAUUGUAUAAUAAUACUUUUUGAUGUUGGUAAUAGACUGAUUGACAUGCAGGGAGGGAGAAUUCACGCAACAAUUCCUGCACCAUACAUCGGCCAGCUAGAGAAUUAUUUUACAGAAGGAGAAACCUAUGAUGUCAAUAACUUUGUUGUUAGGCGAUAUGCGGACAUGCAACAUGGUAGAUGUUUUAAGAAUGAUAUCUACAUCCAGUUAAACCAUAUGACUGAAGUUAUGGUUACUGGAGGUGUGGAUUACAUCCAGCAGCAUGUAUUCGAAUUUACUGAUUUGGAUGCUUUGUACGCUACUGCACACGAACAGAAAAAUCUGAUUGAUGUUGUGGGGAUUUUGGAACAAGCUGGGCCACUCACUCACUUUAGAAACCGCAUCGGUCAAGAAGAGCCCUGUGUUGAGUUUAGAAUCACUGAUAUGUUGUAUGUGUCUAUAUUGUUAAUAAAAAAUUUGAUCAAAUUAUUAUUGUUUUUUUUACUGAAACUUUGUAUAAAAUUCUCAACAGCACAUCGGCCAGGGCAUUUUUCUACAAUGAAAUGGCAGAAGAGUUUCAUCAAGCUAUCCAACAGGCCAACCAACAUCCAAUAGUGGUUAUCAUCUCGAGCUGCAAACCUCAAAUGUUCUCAGGUACUCUUUCUUGAUAUUUUAACACAGAGCCUUUCAAUUUAAGCUUUCAAUUAGCUACAAUAUUUUCUAAUAUUUUAACACAAAAUUGGUUUACAUCUACACUUUAGAGGAGCCAAACGUGACAAACUUCCAAGCUACAAGAUUUUUCAUUAAUCCAAAUCAUGAGGCAGUUGAUGAUUUGAGGAACGCUUUAAGGUUCGUAGUUUAUCAAACAAAGUUGAAAUAUAGGCUUCUUCGUAUUAUGUUAAACCAAUUUCAAAUUACUGGAUGCAACAGUGUGGCUAAUGCAAAACAACUAACGAGGUUGUGAGAUGAUCUGCUCUUUCCGAUGCCUGCUGUUUGAAGAAUUUCUCUUUCCGCUUAAGCAUUUUGUUGUUGUAUAAUCCAGAUUCAAAACUUUGUCAUUUCACUCGCUGCCUUUGCUUUCAUUUCAGUUUUUUAAAUAUAACCAUUGUGUAACCAAGUAUUAGUCUGGACAAAUGCUGUAAUGGGAACUGAAUAUCAUUUCAGUACAAGCUAUUCUGUUGUGCAUGCGCCCAGCAGCGCGGGCUUAAAUACUAGUUCAUAUAUAUAUG